rnacentral:rRNA from 1 species
CGACCGGCGCACGGGUGAGUAACACGUAUGCAAUCCACCUGUAACAGGGGAUAACCCGGAGAAAUCCGGCUAAUACCCCAUAAUAUGGGCUCUCCGCAUGGAGGGUCCAUUAAAGAGAGCAAUUUUGGUUACAGACGAGCAUGCGCUCCAUUAGCCAGUUGGCGGGGUAACGCCCACCAAAGCGACGAUGGAUAGGGGUUCUGAGAGGAAGGUCCCCCACAUUGGAACUGAGACACGGUCCAA